rnacentral:lncRNA from 1 species
UGAGCAAGUGCAUGUGUGGGAACCCUCCUGCCUGCUGGGCGCUCAGCUAGGAGUCCCAGAAUACCAGACACCAUUAUAUUCAAAUACCACAAAAGAUGUGAGAAUUCAAACUGAGCCAUAGCUCCAUCUCCUGGAAGUGUAUAUCAGCAGCAACAAGAGUAAAGACCCAGAGGCAUGAGAAACACUUCCUCACUGAAGCACUCACGUUCCGACUGUGUGCAAAAGACCUUUUGUGUCUCACUCACUGAGGGAGAUUGUUCUUCACUCAAUCAAUGAGAAGAACAGACGUCUUAGAAAACCUUCAGUACCUGGGGGAAAUGAAUGAGCUCAAACACAAGGGAAAGUCAGCCCGUGUUCAAGAUAAGCCCAUCUCAGGAAGGCAGGCACCAUGCUCCUGAGACUACUUUACCCCCAGAUAAGAAAGCCCUUAUUGAUAAGCCAAAAUCACAGAUUAUUUUAUUAAGCUCAUAUUUUAAAAGAAUGCAAAGCUUCC